rnacentral:tRNA from 1 species
GGGCCCGUAGCUCAGCUUGGAUUAGAGCAUCGGCCCUCUAUUCUGAGGAAAGCCGGAGGUCGUGGGUUCAAAUCCCUCCGGGCCCG